UACGUAGGGGGCAAGCGUUGUUCGGAAUUACUGGGCGUAAAGGGCGCGUAGGCGGCACAGCAAGUCGGGAGUGAAAGCCCGGGGCUCAACCCCGGAAUGGCUUUCGAAACUGCUGAGCUAGAGUACAGAAGGGGCAACCGGAAUUCCCAGUGUAGCGGUGAAAUGCGUAGAUAUUGGGAAGAACACCUGAGGCGAAGGCGGGUUGCUGGGCUGAUACUGACGCUGAGGCGCGAAAGCCAGGGGGAGCAAACGGG
rnacentral:rRNA from 1 species